GCUGAGUGGAUCAAAAUUGAAAUGUGUGUCGCUGGAAAACCACUAUACCCCUGCACAUUGGAUACUCAAAUUGUAAAGCGAAUUCAAAGAUAAAAAUGUUCAAUUCUCAACUUCAAGAGAAAGCCUGGUCUAAGGUAUGUUCUUUCUAUUUUAUGUAAAAUAUUUGGAAAACAGGCAUUUUCUUAAAACAAUCCAGAUUUUGAAAAAUAAUUUGAAAGAAAGACCACAGCCCACAUGCAAUAAUUGGACAAAUUGCCUCUUUCCGAGCAAAAAUAUUUAAUUUUUGGAUUGUUUCACAUUAAGGAGUGUUCAUUAUUUAUGGUUGGGUGGUGGGGGGGAUCAUAGGGGGAGGGGGAGUGUUUGUUUUUGGGGGUCACCAAAGUUUGAGGAGUAAUUGAGAGGGGGUCAUGAAAGUUUUAGUUCUGGCAAUGUUUUGACCUUAAAAUAUGUUAUUAUAGAACAUGAAAAUUUUGAAUUAUUACAUGGCUACAAGUUUACAGUGCGUCUAUUGUAAGUGGGGCCACUAGCGCCACUUAGAUAACACUAACCAAUCACAUUGCAGAACAAAAAUAGAAAUCUAAUAAACUAAAGCUUGUCCAAUCGAAAGAAAGCAUGGAGUUCGCUUCAGGAAGCCAGUAACUGCAAUGUUUAAUUUUGAAGUCUAUUUUUACCUUUUGACAUUUGUUCAAAUUGUUUUUGGCCUAAUGCUGAUUGGCUAAUGUGCCGUUUGUUGAUUAUUUCUAUUUUUGUUCUGUAAUGUGAUUGGUUAGUGUUCUCUAAGUGGCCCCACUUACUGUAGAUGCACUGUAAUAGGCCCUUUCAAGGUUAAUUAAAUACAAUAGUGCAAGAGGUGUACUGUUUGUUUUUGGGUGUACUAUUUGUCUGUGUUGGGUGGCUGGGAGUGUUAGCAGGUAUGUUGGGAUAUCUAUGGGUUAACUGGCCUAUCUGCCCAUGUGUCUAGUUAAUGAGUUAAUCAAUUAAUCUUAUUCAUCUUAGACAACAGCAAUUGAACUAUGUGACAGGAACUGUUACCAAUGACUACAAGCCAUUAUCGAGUCUAUCUUUGGACAACCAAAAACAUUUCUCCAACAUGUUGUCAUUCUUGGACGUGUUAGUUCAUUUGGAUUUGCAGAUGAAGUCCUUAAAAGGUCAAUUUAAUUAGUUUGUAUCAUAUUAACUAAUGACUAUUAUACUGUACAAAUGAUAUGAAAAUUUUCCUCCAGUGAUCCCCCUUUGGCACUGUGCCCCCCCUCCUCCUGCCUCUAUGUUUUCCAAGUCAGCUUCCAAAAAUAAAGAAAUAUACUCAAAUUGUUGUGGGUAGCCAAAAAAAUUUCUUAAUUAAAUCAAAUUAGGGUUUCUUCAGGGAUUUUUAGGGCUGCCCCAAAAACUCAAUCUUGAAUUGAGUUUUGAAACUUGAUCUUCUGACCAAAAGUUUCAUUGUAGUAAAAAUGAAGUUGCUUGAGUUUAAUACAUUUGUGACAUGUGGAGAUUAGUUUUCACUUUUCAGUUGGAAACCCGACAAUUUCUUAAAAAUUUCCUGUGUCCCUUCACAUUUUACAAAAAAUUUAAAGAAUCCCACCGUGGCCGGGCAUAUUUUUCAAGCUCGCCCGAUGUGGAUAUACACUCAGAGUAACAUCACAAACAUAUUAUUCACCUGAGUACACAACAACCACACAGAAAAAAAUUUAAAGCAUGUUUUUAUCAGUCGAAAGUAAUUGUUUUGAUGAGAGAUGUGUUUCUUGACACUUUUGAACAGGGUUCGUACAAAACUUGAAAGUCCUUGAAUGUCCUUGAAUUUGAAAACAAAAAUUCAAGGCCUUGAAUGUCCUGGAAUUUGUAAAGAAGUACUUGAAUGUCCUGGAAUUCUUCUUGCUUUAGUUUAUGGAUACUUUCUGAAAUUGUUUGACAUUCAAGAUGGACAUUUUGUUGAACUGAUUUUGCAUGUUCGUAUCUCACCUCAUUAUAAAGUUACGGUUUGAACAAUUCAACGUCAGGUUUUGCUGAUUUCUAACGCCUUCUUCUUCAGUAUUUAGUCCUUGAAUUUGCUCAUACAUGGCCUUGAAUGUCGGAUUUUACUACAUCCCGGGCGUUCUUUGUCAGUGCCCGCGAUCACAAUUAGAAUUACCAGCGGUUGAGUUCGCAACUCAAUAUUCAAACAUUUUCAACCAGAUAAAAAAAGAUUAAAACUUUUUUAAAGCACUUUAAAUUUUAUACCGAUCCCAAACACUAACCGGCCUAACUUUUAAGAGUUAAAAAAGGAAGGAAGAAAAAAAUUACAAAAAAUUGAGAAAAAGAGCUAAAUCAGAUAAUAAAUGUUCGGCAUCGAUCCCGACCCCGACUGCGUUUCACUUUCGGUACGCAACGCCUUUACCACUUGAGCUAACGACAAACUUGGUGAAAAUUACCGCAAACAAAAGUUUUUAUAUUGCUACAAAAUGCGAAAUAACUCCCGUCUGUCCAGUCACUUGGUUAUUUUUUAUUUGAGCUGCUAUAAAUGUUACUAGCUCAUAUAAGAUCUGUGAAACUAGUGCUAAAACAUAAACAGUUUUGUCAAAAAAUUAAAAGGCAAUAUGUUUGGAUCAAAUAAACUGACUAGAAGCAAACUGAUAUCUUGAAAUAUAGAUUAACAUGCUGACAAACUGUUACAGUUUAAUCAGGUUAUAAAUUCACAUCGAGUAUUAUAUAAUUUAUAUUUGGCUUUUAAGAUGUUUUCUUUCAAACAUUGUGAUUUCAGGAAACACUCGAUGUUAUCAUCAUAUACCGCUGAUAAUACUAAUUGUGAUCGCGGGCACUGACAAAGAACGCCCGGGAUGUAGUAAAAUCCUUGAAUGUCCUUGAAAAGUCCUUGAAUUUGACAAUUCCUGACAUGUACGAACCCUGUUUCAAGAAGUUUGAAAUAGUUUGGGGCACUUUUUGAAUUUUUGAGAAAUUUCCUGAGAAAUUUUAAGGCAAUUUGAAUCCUAUUGGCAUACAAAAUUGUUAUUUAGAAUUUACAAUUUCUAUGCUGCAUCCAAUCUAUUGACCAAUCGGGGGAUGCUUUUGUAAAUACCCACGUACCCAAAUAUUCAGAAGUCUUUAUUUUUAUGCUAAAACAGAAACAUCCCAGAGAAUAAAUUAAUAAAAUUAUAUUCAAAUUUAGGGUGUGUUGCAGCUGUAUAUUUUGUCUCUGCCUUGUGUGGUCCUCGCCUGUUUGUGAAAAAAAAAGUACUUUAAAGAUCAAGCUACAACGCUUAAAUAAAGGAAAGCACAAACACCGAAGUUAAAGACAUGAUUAAGGUAUGUUUUAUCAAUUUGAUGUGAAAUGUUGAUAAAUUUCGUGAGUUAAAGUGGUUGAAACUGCUUGUCGAAUUUGACGAUCGCAAGUCGCUUUGUGUUCAACAUUUUGUGGUGGUUUAUAUAGAUACUGAAUUCAGUGGUGUAACAGAGGUAUAUUUGGCAUAUUUGGUGUGGGGGGCCUGUUAACUGUUGUUAUUGUUUGACUGAGAUGUUAUAUUUAUAGCUAUAUUUCCCUCUCUAUAACAAUCACAGCUACAACACAACUAAGGAGCCAAUUAUCUGGAGCACUUUCAACCCAGGGGUUGUUGAAUUUUUUGUGAUUACAUGGAUGAUUUUGACGCCAGGUUUGAUUCCCGGAACUACAAAAAUGGCUCCAUAACCUCCAUUUUGUUUUCUUGUAAUAAAUAGUCACUACCACACAUGCUCGAGCGAGUAACUGAUUAAAAUUUUCAGCCCCAGGUUGAAACAAUUGCAUGACAAAAUUUUCAACUCAGGGCCGAGUUUUCCCUGCUGGCAGUGGUCUCUAUUGGUAGAGACCUCUACCAGCAAAGAGGGUUGAAUUUCAACCCCGGGGUUGAUAAUAAUAUAUGUAAUGUAAUUGUGUGUUUGGUUUUUUUGAAGUUUUGUAUUACAACACAGGGAUGAAAUUUCAAUCCAGUCAACAGAGCUGGGUUCAACCACGGGGUUGAAAAUGCUCCAUGUAAUCGGCUUCUAAUAAGAAUAAGAAUACCGUUUGUUUUAUUUGAGAUGGAAUAACAAAUUCAGUUUAUUAUUUAGCAUUAUUAAUUUUGCAUUUUCCCAUCAAUUCUUAACCUGCAUUUUUACAUCUUCUCAUUUUCUGGGCGACGGGUCAUGGCUGUGUGUGUGGGGGGGGGGGGGGCUUAACUGUCGGCCCCUAAUUUGAAUUAACCCUGCCUAAUACCUCAACGUUUCGUGAAGUUUAGUUCAAAUUAGCAGAGAUGAGUGCAUAAAGUAUUUAGGAUAUUUUGAAGCUAAAUUUGUUUUUAAAAUUGUCAUUUUAGUGAAUACAAGAAAUGUUGAAUAGUCUGCUGCAAGGAGACAUCGGGCAUUGUAAUGAAUGGAUGAUAAUGUGAGUCGCUGGCAAACCUACAGCCCUUACUGCGAUAGGCAGUCAAGUAUUUUUAACCUGCACAUUUUUGUUUUUAUUUCCCCUAUUUUAUUUUAUGUUCAUAAAUAUCAUGACUCAUGACUUUUAAUGUUGGAAGGAGUUGAGAGUCCCCACUCAACUGCAUGCCUUCUGAAUAAUAAUUAUAGACUCCAUUUUACAUGCUACCAUUUUACCUGUGAG
rnacentral:lncRNA from 1 species